rnacentral:rRNA from 1 species
GCAUAUCAAUAAGCGGAGGAAAAGAAACCAACAGGGAUUGCCUUAGUAACGGCGAGUGAAGCGGCAAAAGCUCAAAUUUGAAAUCGGCCACCAGGUCGAGUUGUAAUUUGUAGAUUGUAUCUUGAGAGCGGAUUAAAGUCUGUUGGAACACAGCGCCUUAGAGGGUGACAGCCCCGUAAAAUCUAUUCUCAUUGUAAGAUACUUUCGAAGAGUCGAGUUGUUUGGGAAUGCAGCUCUAAGUGGGAGGUAAAUUCCUUCUAAAGCUAAAUAUUGACGAGAGACCGAUAGCGAACAAGUACUGUGAAGGAAAGAUGAAAAGCACUUUGAAAAGAGAGUGAAAAAGUACGUGAAAUUGUUAAAAGGGAAGGGUAUUGAAUCAGACUUGGUGCUGUUGUUCAACUGUGUUUCGGCAUAGUGUACUCAGCAGUACUAGGCCAAGGUGGGGUGUUUGGGAGUGAAAAAGAAGUAGGAAGGUAACUCUUCGGAGUGUUAUAGCCUACUUUCAUAGCUCCUCAGGCGCCUCAGGACUGCGCUUCGGCAAGGACCUUGGCAUAAUGAUU